UACAGAGGGUGCGAGCGUUAAUCGGAAUUACUGGGCGUAAAGGGCGCGUAGGCGGUUAGGAAGGUGUGAUGUGAAAGCCCUGGGCUUAACCUAGGAAGUGCAUCGCAAACCAACUAGCUGGAGUAUAAGAGAGGGUGGCGGAAUUUCCGGUGUAGCGGUGAAAUGCGUAGAGAUCGGAAGGAACGUCAAUGGCGAAGGCAGCCACCUGGCUUAAUACUGACGCUGAAGCGCGAAAGCGUGGGGAGCGAACAGG
rnacentral:rRNA from 1 species